UGUGGGAGCUGGCUUGCCUGCGAUGGCGGUGGAUCAGUGACUGCAUACUGUCUGAUUCGCCGCCAUCGCAGGCAAGCCAGCUCCCACA
rnacentral:misc_RNA from 1 species